rnacentral:rRNA from 1 species
ACAUGCCUACAACAUAGUGUUAAUUCACUGGAUCCCAUUAGAACUUUGUAGUUAAGUGUGCUCAGGCUAGAGUAGUACUGGGAUGGGUGAUUUCCCGGGAAGUACUAGUGUUUUACAUGCC